AUAGAACAGGCUACUGAAAACUAUAAACUGGGCAUUUCUUAAGCUUUUAAGACCAAUGCGAACCACUAAAGGCACGAUAACAAUCGUUCGUCAUGAAGGGUGCUAAAUUAAAAUCUUUUUUGUUAAUACAAAUGGCUUUCAUUGUUCAAGAUGUUUACAGUGACGUAAAUAAUAACGUUGGUGACAAGAUUGUGGGAGGCUCGUUAGCCAAUAUUACGAACGCUCCCUAUUAUGUACUGAUGUCUAUAUCAGGUCCAAAGGGACAAUUCUCUUGUGGAGGAACUAUAAUUUCUAAGAAACAUGUUCUUACUGCUGCACAUUGUGUCAAAGGUUUCUCAACUGUUAAAGUGAGACCGAGAAUAUCAAGUAAAAAGGAAUCUUUAAAGUUACUCAGCUGUUAAAGUGAGACCGAGAAUAUCAAG